GAUUUGGUUCAAAUUUAUUUAACAACUGAUCAUCAAUCUACGAAUUCUCAAUUGAUUCUAGUUUGUUGUUUCAAAGCUACUCCAUGUUAGGUUUUCUGAUUUGAAGUUGUUGUUGUUUCUUUUGAUUUCUGAGAUCAAGAAGAAUCAUCACUGUUUCGGAAGAAUAGCAACAGAAUCAAGGUGAUUUUCAGUUGGGUUGAAGAAUAAUUUAGGAGUAUGUGGAUUCAAUUUUAUAAAUCAGGUAGGAGGACUAGCAGUACCUAAUCACAUGACAUGUUAUUCUGGUCUCGGUGGUGCACUCAGUUUUAUUAUGUACAGUUUUUCCUAACCCUUCAACUGUCUAUGAGCUAAUAGUAGUGGAGAAUACAAAUUUUUUAUCUCCUAUGUUUAGUUAAUACUGGAC